UCUAUUCCGCUCCGUUCCAUCCGUUUUUAAAUUAUCCAAACAAUGGAAUAUCAUUUUAUUCCAUUCCAUUCCGCUCCGCUCCAUCCGGUUCCAUCAAUCCAAACAAAGCCUAGGUUACGAGCUCCACCAAAAUAUCUUCUCUAUCAUGAAACCCUUCUUCUUUCAUCUUCAAUUGGUAACCCUUAUUAUUAUUCCAUAAAAAAACUCACCCAUCAGCCACUAUUUACCCUUCUUCUUCCAUUGUUACCCUAAAACCCUUGUUUCUCAAACCCUUCAAAUCUCAAUUUCUCUCUUAAAAAACAUAACCCUAAAAGCUCCUCCCUCAACCUUUUCCUUCAUCUCUUUAGUUUUUCGAUAAUGUUAGAUUCUCUGUUCCUCUAGAUCUAAUCUCCGUCUUGCUGUCAAACUCUGUUUCAGCGAUCUCUUUUGACGUACUCUGUUUCACCAUAACGUGUCACAGUAUUCCGUUUCUCUAUACUAUCUCUGUGUUCUCUUUCUUUGGUUUGCAUUUGUGUUGGACUAUUGGUGGAGCUUUGUCUCUCUAUUCUUGCAUUUCAAGAUGAUUCAUAGUGAAUAAAUGGAUAAAAAUGAUUUUGGUUAUGAUAUGUCAUGCUUCAAAGUUGUACUGAAACAUUUGAGUGGAUGCAUCAAAUUAUGUUUUACAUUUGGCUUUUUUCAUUUCUCUAAUUUUGAGUUUAACAGUGUGAUUGAUAGUAAGUUUGUUUAGAUUUUAUUUGCAGUUUCUUACAUAUAUCAUGUUAUUCAUUAUGUAUGAAGUUUGGUAGAUAGUAGAUACCAAAGACAAAUCAAUUUUUUGGAAUCAUUGGAGGCAUAAUGUAAGGUCAUUCUUGAAGAUGUUCAGCCAAAAGAUAAGCAUUAUUGAAGGCGUCCAAUGUGUUAUAUGUAGAUCUUCAAUUUCGUAAUGAGCAAUUGACUAUCUUAUGUAUUCUUCAAUUUCCUAUUUGCAAAGGGUCUUAUUCCUGGAGGUUCUUUAAUUCACAUUGAUGCUAAUUUAGAUGCAACUUUGGAUGUGACCGAGCAUUAUUGGUUCCCUAUGCUGGCUGGUUUAUCUGAUCUAACAUCGAAUCAAAGACCAGAGGUUAGAAGUUGCACACUUGAUGUCUUGUUUGAUUUGAUGAAAGAGGUAGCAAGUUCUCUUCAUCAUUUUGAGAGAGUAUUUUAAAAUUUUUAUCUUCAUCAUUGAGUUCUAUUUCUAAUUUUUUAUCAUGUGAGACAUGCUGGAAAAGAAGGUUUUGUUUCUAGUGAUCAUGAUUGGUUUCAUGAAACAAGCAUACAUUCCCUUUUGCUGCUGUGCAACCUUUUCAGCACAUUCUAUAAGGUAAAGUAAAGAACUAAAGCAAUAUGUUUUUUCUAAUCUUUAACUUUGAUUUCUGAUUGGUCUAGUAACCUAACAUUAGUAUAUGUGACAAGGUAUAUGACAGCUUCCAGGAUCUAUAUCGUGAAAUUUUGCUCAAAACCUAAGUACCACCUAUAAGAUUGAAAUAUAAGUCUUGAACUUGGAAGCAACAUUUGUUUCUUGGAUUUGAGUAAUAUCUCUAGAUCAAUAUAACUGGGGCCAACAAUGAUGUUUCUCGAUUACCUAUGUUGACUAGAGUAAAACAUUAUCCUUAUUGUUUAUACAUGUUCACAUGAACUUCAUAUCUUUGAUUGUUUAAAUGAUUUGCAUCCUGGUGAUCACAUAGAGAUUUAGUGAAGGAAAAACAAAGAAUAUCCUUAUGGUCAUUUCAUUUACCAUAAAUAAUAUUGAUAUUCUUCUAAAUUUUCUCUCUAAUACCAUGUUAAUUAAUAAUAAAAGAGACUUUGUUUGAUUCAAAACCUUAUAUCAGUUAGUAGAUCAUUUCUAUUGUUAUGGUAGGUUGGUGGAAUGGUUUUGUAGGUCACUUGGAGUCAUGUGAUGGGAAUGAAAACCAUUGGUACUCUCAUAUUAGUGGUAAAGAUUAAAGCUAAUAUAGAAGAUUUGAAGAUGGAAACUUGAAGAUGAAAGUUAUAGGCUAUUAAGUAGGCACAAGUUGUUAAGUUGAAACUUGUAUGUUUAUUAGUAUAAUCCUUUACAAUAGUUUAGGAUUGACAUUAUUUAUCUAUCACCAACUUUAAGUUUGUAGAAC